AUGCUUAUAGGAACACAGUGACAGAUGUGUAUUGAAAUAAUGCUCACAAUGUAUUGCAUUAGGCCUAUUUAAUAGCUCACAAAACAUUUGCCGUUUAAUAAGAUAAUUAACAUGAUAUUGUAACAGAAAUACUGGGCGAAAUUGUGAUUUUAAGCGUAGCAAGUGAUUGUAAAAGCAGGAGAGAGGGAAACAAGAGACGCGCGUGGAUCACUCAGAACACAACGACGCGCGAGGAAAUACACGCACGCACGCACGCACGCACGCACGCGCCGGAGACGGAGUCAUCCAAAGAUUUUUCUAAUAAAUCCACAUACCUCUUGGCAAAAUCAUCACUCUCUAUCCCCUGGACUCUUGCUCACUCUCUCCGCAUCAUCGACCCAAUGAAGGAGCCGGACGCCAUCAAACUCUUCAUCGGGCAGAUCCCGCGCAAUCUGGAGGAGAAGGACCUGAAGCCCAUCUUUGAGCAGUUCGGCAAGAUCUAUGAGCUGACUGUGAUCAAGGACAAGUACACGGGCGUGCACAAAGGAUGUGCUUUUCUGACGUAUUGUGCACGGGAGUCAGCCCUUAAAGCACAAAGUGCCCUUCAUGAACAGAAAACCCUGCCAGGGAUGAAUCGACCCAUUCAGGUGAAGCCUGCAGACAGUGAGGGGAGAGGAGGGCUUUCUUUCUUCCGUGGAACACAAGAGGAGAUGUUAGGCAGAAUGUUAGGAUCUGACAGCCUCAGCUGCCAUUCACGUCAUUGUAGAGAGGACAGGAAGUUGUUUGUGGGGAUGUUGGGAAAACAGCAGUCUGAUGAGGAUGUGAGUAAGAUGUUUGAACCAUUCGGCAGCAUUGACGAGUGCACAGUGCUGAGAGGACCUGAUGGAACCAGCAAAGGUUGUGCGUUUGUGAAAUUCCAAAGUCAUGCAGAGGCCCAGGCUGCCGUUAACAGUCUGCAUGGGAGUCGUACACUACCCGGCGCAUCCUCCAGUCUAGUGGUGAAGUUUGCAGACACAGAGAAAGAGAGAGGUGUUCGGCGUAUGCAGCAGGUGGCCUCCCAGCUGGGUGUCUUCAGUCCAAUGACGCUAAACUUUAACACAUACAAUGCCUACACACAAGCAUCCCUUUCCCAGCUGGUCCAGCAGCAGGCAUUGGUGGCACAGUCUGCCUACUUCUCAUCCGUUCCAACAGUUGCGGCGAUGCAGAUGCAGCAGAUGGCAGCACUCAAUGCGAAUGGCAUCAUAGCCACACCCAUCACUCCAAUCACACCCUCUUCUAGUGCAAAUACCCCACCUACUAUUGCGGCAACACCCAUGUCUGCUCUUCUUUCACCAAUUGGAGUCAACAGCUAUAGUCCUGUACCGGCAACGGCCAAUGGACAGCCAACAUCUGAAAUCUACACCAAUGGUGUCUAUCCAUAUCAAGCCCAGAGUCCAGUCACAGCAUUAGAUCCACUCCAGCAGGCGUAUGCAGGCAUGCAGCAUUAUACAGCAGCCUACCCAACUGCAUACGGAUUAUUUAGCCAGCCAUAUCCUCAGCAACCCACCCUGGUUGCCCAGCAACAGCGAGAAGGUCCUGAAGGAUGUAACGUCUUCAUUUAUCAUUUGCCUGAGGAGUUCACUGACUCAGAAAUGUUGCAGAUGUUUCUGCCGUUCGGUAACGUCAUUUCUGCCAAAGUGUUUGUUGACCGGGCCACCAAUCAGAGCAAGUGCUUCGGCUUUGUGAGCUUUGAUAACCCAGGGAGUGCUCAGACAGCCAUCCAGGCCAUGAAUGGAUUUCAGAUUGGCAUGAAGAGACUCAAAGUGCAACUGAAAAGACCGAAAGAUGCCAACAGACCCUACUGAGAGAGAGAGAGACCGGUCCAAGCGGCCAAUAAUAAAUGACGGGAGACCCCAUGGCUAUGGCAAUGGUUACCUAGCAACAGACAAUCCCCCUACCUCUCAAGUUGUAGAUGGACAUUGUUGACGCUUUCAUGCAGUUGACAGACCCCAGCUUGGUGUUGAGCUGCACAGGUUUCAUUGCUACUAGAUAACCUGAGACACUUGUUAUCUUGCACACUCACAGCACACUACUGUAUGUGUGCAAAUAUGCAAAUAAAACCUACAAGAUUAUGUACAUAAAGUCACAAACACAUUUAAACAUAAACGGUUGUGUGAAGAUGUCAAUGGUAUUAACUUAGUGAAAUUGAAUGUGGAAAAUUGUUGAUUGUGUACAAAGUAAAAAGAGUUAACACACACACACACACACAGACACACACACACACACAUGCUACUUGCUAUGGACCUUCACAUCUCUACAAACCUAUACAUUACUAUAAUUUUUCAUAUGGAAAAAAAAAAGUCAAUCAAAAAUUUAGACCAGCCACAGUAAAAUGACUAUAAUCAGGUUUAAAAAGAAAUUGAUUAAAAUGUAUGACAAUGUAAAAGUUAAGUAAAAUAAGAAUAGUUUACAUUAAAACAAUAACAACAGUUACAACAUUAUAAUUAAUAUUAACAAUAAUAAUAAUAACAUUAUUAUUAUUAUUAUAUUAUGUUAAAUUAAAAACACCUUUAGUGUUUUCUACUUUUUGAUGAUAAAUGGGAUGGAGGGGGACUUCAGGGCAUGUUUACAUAUUUUAGGUUUUUAUUUAUUUAUUUAUUUAUUCACUGUUUUGGGAAACAAUGGUUUGGAUUCUGGUAUCUUGGUUUUGAUGUUGUUGUUGUUUUUUUUUAGAGAAAUACAUUUAAGGGAUUGAAAAACUUUGUAAACUAAUUAUUGAAAUAUGAAUUACAAUGAUGCUAUUUAUGUCUUAUUACCUUUUUUGAUCAAACCUUUGUUUAUAAUUUCAAUAAAUUAAAGGUAUUAAACAUGAGGUG